rnacentral:rRNA from 1 species
AACGAACGCUGGCGGCAUGCCUAACACAUGCAAGUCGAACGAGACCUUCGGGUCUAUUGGCGCACGGGUUCGUAACGCGUGGGAACCUUCCCUUAGGUUCGGCAUAACUCCCCGACAGGGGUGCUAAUACCGGAUCAUGUCUUCGGCCCAAAGAUUUAUCGCCUUUGGAUGGGCCCGCGUUGGAUUAGCUAGUUGGUAGGGUAAAAGCCUACCAAGGCGACGAUCCAUAGCUGGUCUGAGAGGAUGAUCAGCCACACUGGGACGGAGACACGGCCCAGACUCCUACGGGAGGAAGCAGUGGGGAAUAGUGGACAAUGGGCGAAAGCCUGAUCCAGCAAUGCCGCGUGAGUGAUGAAGGCCUUAGGGUUGUAAAGCUCUUUUACCCGGGAUGAUAAUGACAGUACCGGGAGAAUAAGCUCCGGCUAACUCCGUG